UGAAGAAACCGGCCGCCAUCUUACUGUACCCACAACAGUCGCCGCAGCGAUCAUGGCAACUUCUUGCAAUUACGGUCGUACCAACCGUACUGGCAAGGUUACAGGGCCUAAAUUUAUACAGGUUUUGUCAUGAGGGCUACCCAGUGAAUUAUCUGUGCAGUGUGAUACGGCUGGGUGUACAGGUUACUUCACAGCUGCCUCAACAUACUCAAGAAAUGGGUGCAGAACCUGCGUAAUGCCCACAAACUUUGACUACCACAGCACCUCCAUAAAGUAAAGGCAUAUGUGUCAC